rnacentral:tRNA from 1 species
CGACAUCGAGGCCAACCCAGGCCAAGACGUUGAAGCCCAGAGGUUCUGACCGAUUCGA